rnacentral:rRNA from 1 species
CCUACGGGAGGCAGCAGUGAGGAAUAUUGGUCAAUGGACGAGAGUCUGAACCAGCCAAGUAGCGUGAAGGAUGACUGCCCUAUGGGUUGUAAACUUCUUUUAUAGGGGAAUAAAAUGUGCCACGUGUGGGAUUUUGUAUGUACCAUAUGAAUAAGGAUCGGCUAACUCCGUGCCAGCAGCCGCGGUAAUACGGAGGAUCCGAGCGUUAUCCGGAUUUAUUGGGUUUAAAGGGAGCGUAGGGGGAUUGUUAAGUCAGUUGUGAAAGUUUGCGGCUCCACCGUAAAAUUGCCGUUGAAACUGGCAGUCUUGAGUACAGUAGAGGUGGGCGGACUUCGUGUUGUAGCGGUGACCUGCU